rnacentral:misc_RNA from 1 species
GUCCACUUGAAAUGCAAGGCGCAUGUAUGAUAUAGAUUGCAAAUGUGGGAGCAAUUCUCAUGUACAUCUAAAAUCUAAAUCAAAAUUGAAAAGCUGAAAUGUAUGUUGAUGAACAAGGAAGACAGUUAAAAUUGAGGAUAUUUUAGCUUCUCAUCACAUAUUAUAUUAGUUGAGGUAGUUAACAUAAACAUGUGGGCAUGGAUAGACCCAGCCAAGGGCCGGUUUAGAACCAAAACGGAACCGGACAAGAACCAGUCAAAGUCGUCUUUGACUCAAACCAUAAAUGAACCAAACCGGAAUUGAACCAAAAUCAAACCG